rnacentral:rRNA from 1 species
GACGAACGCUGGCGGCGUGCUUAACACAUGCGAGUCGAACGGAAAGGCCCUGCUUUUGUGGGGUGCUCGAGUGGCGAACGGGUGAGUAACACGUGAGUAACCUGCCCUUGACUUUGGGAUAACUUCAGGAAACUGGGGCUAAUACCGGAUAGGAGCUCCUGCUGCAUGGUGGGGGUUGGAACGUUUCGGCGGUUGGGGAUGGACUCGCGGCUUAUCAGCUUGUUGGUGGGGUAGUGGCUUACCAAGGCUUUGACGGGUAGCCGGCCUGAGAGGGUGACCGGCCACAUUGGGACUGAGAUACGGCCCAGACUCCUACGGGAGGCAGCAGUGGGGAAUAUUGCACAAUGGGCGGAAGCCUGAUGCAGCAACGCCGCGUGCGGGAUGACGGCCUUCGGGUUGUAAACCGCUUUCGCCUGUGACGAAGCGUGAGUGACGGUAAUGGGUAAAGAAGCACCGGCUAACUACGUG